GAAAACUUGGAAACUACCGUUGGAUCGAGAAAUGGAUGUCCGAGAUUCGUCCACGUCACCAUGAGUUAAAAUUUAACUCCCAGUAAAAUUUUAACUCAUGAGUGAAUCUGCGAGUUAAAUUUUAACUCAUGGUGACGUGGACGAAUCUCGGACGUCUAUUUCUCGAUCCAACGGUAGUUUCCAC
rnacentral:pre_miRNA from 1 species